UACGGAGGGUGCAAGCGUUGUCCGGAUUUAUUGGGUUUAAAGGGCUCGUAGGCGGCCAACUAAGUCAGACGUGAAAUCCCUCGGCUUAACCGGGGAACUGCGUCUGAUACUGGAUGGCUUGAGUUUGGGAGAGGGAUGCGGAAUUCCAGGUGUAGCGGUGAAAUGCGUAGAUAUCUGGAGGAACACCGGUGGCGAAGGCGGCAUCCUGGACCAACACUGACGCUGAGUGAGCGAAAGCCAGGGGAGCAAACGGG
rnacentral:rRNA from 1 species